AAAGUUAAAUCAAACUUAAAAAUGAAUUAUAAUUUAUUUCUUUUUAGAAAGUGAUUAAUUUCAAAAUAAAAAACUAGACACAAACUGAUAUUACAUUCCUGACAUGUCAUGAACACAGUCACUAGUUUGGCCUGAUUUAUUUGAAGCAUAUUUAAAAGAAUAUUUGUUCAGUAUUUGAUGAAUUAUAUUGCCAUGCAACUCUGCUAAUGUAAUGUGUUUUCCAGUAAUGGACUUGUAAGAAAAAUAUGCAUUUAGUAAAGACAACUCAAUAAGGUGAAAAAUAGUUCUUAUACCAUUUAAGGUUUUGGAAUACACAUUCUAAUGGGCAUAGCAAAACUUCAUAAUUGUCAAUAAUCCUCAUAUUAUUAAAAUACUCAUGCAUGGAUAAUGGUUUUGUUCUCUGGUGUUCAUG